rnacentral:rRNA from 1 species
CCAGCACUAAAGCAUCGGAUCCCAUCAAAACUCCGAAGUUAAGCGUGCUUGG